rnacentral:ncRNA from 1 species
AAUAAAUUUUUUAUGGUUUAAAAAAUUUAUUUUAAAUUUGUUUUACAUAUAAAUUUUAGUGUUAGUUUUUAUUUAUUUAAAUAAUAAAUAAUUUUUUAGUAGUAAUUAGUUUUAAAAAUUUAAGAAAUUAGGAUUUAGCAAUAUAAAAAUUAAUAACUAAUUUUGUGCCAGCAGUUGCGGUUAUACAAAAAUUGAUUUAAAUUUUUUUAGAUUUUAAUUAAUAAUUGUUUUUAUAGUUAAAAUUUUAAAUUAUUAAGUGAAAUUUUAAUUUAAAAAAAAAUUAUUUAAAAUUUAUGAUUUAAUAAAUUUAUUAAAAGACUAGGAUUAGAUACCCUAUUAUUAAAAUUUAAAUUAUUAUUCUAAAAUAGUAGGUAAUUUUUUAUUGAAACUUAAAUAAUUUGGCGGUAUUUUAGUUUAUUUAGAGGAAUCUGUUUAAUAAUUGAUAAUCCACGAAUAAAUUUACUUAAUUUAAAAUUUUGUAUAUCGUUGUUAAAAAAAUAUUUUUUAAUGAGAAUAAUAUUUAAAAAUUAAAAUUAAAAAUUAAAUCAGAUCAAGAUGCAGAUUAUAAUUAAGAAUAUAAUGGAUUACAAUAAAUUUAUUUAUUUUGGAUUUUAAUUUGGAAUAAUUAAAUAAAAUUGGAUUUAAAUGUAAUUUUAUUUAAUUUAAUAAAAUGAUUUUUUAUUAAAAUAUGUACAUAUUGCCCGUCGCUUUCAUUUAUAAAUUGAAAUAAGUCGUAACAAAGUAGAGGUACUGGAAAGUGUUUCUAGAAAGAA